CUGUGAAUAUUCUUGCUGUUUUGAAUCUGUGAUAAUUAGGACAGGCUAAACAUUCACUGUAAUAAGACCGCGCGUGUGUUCCCAGACAUAGUUCUUGACCUACCUAGGUCUGCUCUUGGAAAUACUGGUGAUAAAU